rnacentral:lncRNA from 1 species
UGGCAGCUUUGGUUUUGCUUUAUGGGUGGUCUUUGUUCUUCAAGACUCAUAUGAAUACCACAUAUUAGCUGAGCUGGUUCUCCCUUGAUGUCUGUGUUGUAUUGUACACAUGUUGUCACUGUUUGACACUUAAACAAUCCAGAUUCUUACCCAGCCCAUAUUUAGUGCCAUAAUAAACUUCGGAGCAUAUGUUUUUGAGAGCAACAGUAACAUUCAUCACUGCAAUGUGACAUAAAAAUAAGCACUACUGGAGAGCCGGCGUGCCUUCAGAGGGCAGAGCUGGACUGGAAGGUGAAGGGAUGUGGUCAUCAUCUGUGCUGCUCUUACUGGGCUCUUUUCUUCCUCGCCUUGUCUCAGUAAAUCAAAGCAGUUGUUGAAGUGACCUCCAAAAUUCACCCCGUACAUGUGAAAAACACACACUGUUACAAAACUUUUUUAGUGAAACAUUUCCUGUUUGGGGCUUUGGCUUGACAAACCAGAGAUGCAUAAACCAUCGCUCCUCUCUUCAUCUCUCUCAUUCUCUCUUUCAGCAGGGAGUUCCUCUGGGGCCCAGUCCGAAGCACCGGUCUGGCAGCUGCGCCGCACCAAUGCCUCCCGCUCCCGAGACCAUCUCCCCGAGGAAGCAUCUCCUGACCAACGUGCCUUCGCAGACUGCACUAAUUGAGGCGCUUCUAUUAUUGAUGUCACUUGGAGAUCUGAUUGUCAACAUCACAAAAACAGCACCAGGAAAAGCCACAAGAUACUGCAUAAAGCCCAGAACGACUGAAAGUUGGAGGACUUCUUUUCAGGAGACAAAUUUUCACUGGUUUAUCAGCCUCUGCUUUUAUGGAUCUUUUAUGGAUAUAAGGACAAGUUCAGCUUCCUUCUCCGUUUAGCUGACAUAAUUUACAGUCGGAUGCACCAUAGACGGACGGAACGCCGAAAUAUUGCAGCUGCAGACGGAGCGAAGGGCCGCGAUCAGCGCAGCGUGAGCUCCCCCUGCCCGCCGCUGCGGGAGGAGCUGCGGUUCCCCAUUUUCAUCUCGCCCCCUACAGCCCGUGAACGAAACGCACACCAGGUAUUUAAGGCUUCGACCUGUUUCGCUCCAAUAAUAAAAGAAUUGUAUGAAAAUGAUAUCA